GCACGGAGUUAGCCGGGGCUUUCUCUGGGGGUACCGUCACACCCCGAAUAAUCGGAGUCGUUCGUCCCCUCUAACAGAGGUUUACACACCUUGGUGCUUCAUCCCUCACGCGGCGUUGCUGGUUCAGGCUUUCGCCCAUUGACCAAUAUUCCUCACUGCUGCCUCCCGUAGGAGUCUGGGCCGUAUCUCAGUCCCAGUGUGGCCGAUCACCCUCUCAGGUCGGCUACCGAUCGUAGCCUUGGUGAGCCAUUACCUCACCAACUAGCUAAUCGGGCGCAGGCUCAUCUUGGAGCGCUCGGAAGCUUUAACAACCAAUCCAUAGAACUGAUUGUAUCAUCCGGUAUUAGCCCCGCUUUCGCGAGGUUGUCCCAAACUCCAAGGUAGAUUACCUACGUGUUACUCACCCGUUCGCCGGUUUACUAAGGAUAUUGCUACCCUAUUCUCCCUGACUUGCAUGUGUUAGGCACGCCGCCAGCGUUCGUC
rnacentral:rRNA from 1 species